AUGAACGCUGGCGGCGUGCCUCAUACAUGCAAGUCGAGCGAACAGACGAGGAGCUUGCUCCUCUGACGUUAGCGGCGGACGGGUGAGUAACACGUGGAUAACCUACCUAUAAGACUGGGAUAACUUCGGGAAACCGGAGCUAAUACCGGAUAAUAUAUUGAACCGCAUGGUUCAAUAGUGAAAGACGGUUUUGCUGUCACUUAUAGAUGGAUCCGCGCCGCAUUAGCUAGUUGGUAAGGUAACGGCUUGCCAAGGCAACGAUGCGUAGCCGACCUGAGAGGGUGAUCGGCCACACUGGAACUGAGACACGGUCCAGACUCCUACGGGAGGCAGCAGUAGGGAAUCUUCCGCAAUGGGCGAAAGCCUGACGGAGCAACGCCGCGUGAGUGAUGAAGGUCUUCGGAUCGUAAAACUCUGUUAUUAGGGAAGAACAAAUGUGUAAGUAACUAUGCACGUCUUGACGGUACCUAAUCAGAAAGCCACGGCUAACUACGUG
rnacentral:rRNA from 1 species